UGUCUAGGCGGUCAGGUAAGUGAGAUGUGAAAUGCCCCGGCUUACCCGGGGACCUGCAUCUCAUACUGUCUGGCUUGAGUAUGGGAGAGGAUGAGGGAAUUCCUGGUGUAGCGGUGAAAUGCGUAGAUAUCAGGAGGAACACCGGUGGCGAAAGCGCUCAUCUGGCCCAAUACUGACGCUGAAGCACGAAAGGCUAGGGGAGGCAAACG
rnacentral:rRNA from 1 species